rnacentral:rRNA from 1 species
UUGUCCUGUGACUGCGUACCUUUUGUAUAAUGGGUCAGCGACUUAUAUUCAGUGGCAAGGUUAACCAUCUAGGGGAGCCGUAGGGAAACCGAGUCUUAACUGGGCGUUCAGUCUCUGGAUAUAGACCCGAAACCAGGUGAUCUAGCCAUGGGCAGGUUGAAGGUUGAGUAACAUCAACUGGAGGACCGAACCGACUAAUGUUGAAAAAUUAGCGGAUGACUUGUGGCUAGGGGUGAAAGGCCAAUCAAACCUGGAGAUAGCUGGUUCUCCCCGAAAGCUAUUUAGGUAGCGCCUCGGACGAAUACUACUGGGGGUAGAGC